rnacentral:rRNA from 1 species
UACGAAGGGGGCUAGCGUUGCUCGGAAUCACUGGGCGUAAAGCGCACGUAGGCGGCUUUUUAAGUCAGGGGUGAAAUCCUGGAGCUCAACUCCAGAACUGCCUUUGAUACUGAGAGGCUCGAGUCCGGGAGAGGUGAGUGGGAACUGCGAGUGUAGAGGUGAAAUUCGUAGAUAUUCGCAAGAACACCAGUGGCGAAGGCGGACUCACU